rnacentral:lncRNA from 1 species
UUCUUCUUCUUCCCCCUCUUUUCUUCUUUUCUCUUCUUCGGUGUGAUUUGUGGCCCUUGUUCUCUUCCUAAUUGUUGGGUAUAAAAUAUCCUCAGCCGAAGUUCUUAACAGGAUUGACCCUCCCAAGACACCUCCGACUUUCGACCGCAGACGGUAUCUCUCCGGACUUUCCCAACAGCUGAAUUCCCACAGUGCUGAUUGAAUUCCCCCGACGGAUGAACUCC